rnacentral:lncRNA from 1 species
GGCAGCAGUCCAGCUGUUACCAGUAAACUGGAAGCUGACGUCACUAACAAGCAUUCAGGGAGCACCAAGAAGCAGACCAGAGGUCUCCUAAGCUUGACUCCUCUUCGGCAUGAGACUAAGGAAGCUCCCCAAGUUCCAGUCAGAGGUCUGAAUUUGUGAAUUUGCUGAGGCUGAUAGGACAGUGUGGGCUGUCCCUGAAAGUUGGAGGAGGUGACAACAAGGUUGGGGGCCUUCCAUAUGGGUGCCUGCUGUACCACAUAUCCAGUAAAAACAGAACAUUUACGAAUGCAGGCUUAUGGAAGAGUCUUGCCCUAACAGAAAAACAGGGAUGAGGCUGGGAAGAGGAUAAAGUUAUAGCAGG